rnacentral:misc_RNA from 1 species
GUAAGCAGCAGUUUUCUUAUUAAAUUUUCUAUUGUUACAUUCCUGCCUUCCUGUGCGAGCAGAACUGAUGGGCUGAAGGCAAAAGCUGCGCCCCAAGCACAAGAAAAUCUUUCAUUCAAUCAGUUUUAAAUACAAUAACUAAAAAGAAAAAAAUUUAAAGGUUGAAAUUAAAACUAGAUGAGAACUUGAUAUCCCUACUUCUACAAAGCAAAUCCAUGGCAACUACACCU